rnacentral:rRNA from 1 species
GAUGAACGCUGGCGGCGUGCCUAAUACAUGCAAGUCGAGCGAACAGACGAGGAGAUUGCGCCCCUGACGUUAGCGGCGGACGGGUGAGUAACACGUGGAUAACCUACCUAUAAGACUGGGAUAACUUCGGGAAACCGGAGAUAAUACCGGAUAAUAUAUUGAACCGCAUGGUUCAAUAGUGAAAGACGGUUUUGCUGUCACUUAUAGAUGGAUCCGCGCCGCAUUAGCUAGUUGGUAAGGUAACGGCUUACCAAGGCAACGAUGCGUAGCCGACCUGAGAGGGUGAUCAGCCACACUGGAACUGAGACACGGUCCAGACUCCUACGGGAGGCAGCAGUGGGGAAUCUUGCACAAUGGGCGAAAGCCUGACGCAGCAAUACCGCGUGGGUGAUGAAGGUCUUCGGAUCGUAAAGCUCUGUUAUUAGGGAAGAACAAAUGUGUAAUUAUCUAUGGCUGUCUUGACGGUACCUAAACAGUAAGCCACGGCUAACUUCGUG